rnacentral:rRNA from 1 species
AUGCCGUGCCUGCCUCACGAGCUGAUCGCGUGGAAGAUCCUGGUCCGGCUACCCACCAAGUCGCUGCUGCGGCUACGGUGCGUCUGCAAGGCCUGGCGCGACAUCAUCUCCGGCGCCGACCCCUCCUUCUCUCAGGCGCACCUCGACCACCUUCAUCAGCAAGUCAAGAAGCCCUACAGCCUGCUUAUCGCGCCACGUAUCAAAAGCGAAAGUGACAUGGAAGAUCCCCGCGACACAAGAAGACCCUGGGCCGAUAUGAAGGUUACCUCCCCGGGGCUGUACCUGUGGGAGGAGAGCCAGAAGGACAUCGCGACCCUCUUAUUCGACAUCUCCUCAUUCCCUGCCGAGGGGGCGGCGACAAGGCAUGGGCUCACGCACUGCGACGGGCUCGUGUUUCUGCCCGCCGAGGAUACAGUGCGUGUGCUCAACCCUGCCACACGCCAAAUCCGCGUGCUGCCAUGGAGCCUGAACAGUGUUGCGCCGCGUCGGUGCCCCCAAGGUGAAGGCCACCAGGCAUUCGGCUUCGGACGCGACCAUCGCUCCAACGCCUACAAGGUCGCCCGCUUCUUCCACCGUGAAACGCGCGGCAUGGGCGGUCUCGGGAUGGAGGUGUUCACUAUCGGAAAGGACCAGUGCUGGCGUGAGACAGCCGUGCAACCGCCGUACCCUUUCGUAGCUGGACUAACGGCGACAUUCUUCAAGGGCUCCUUGAUCUGGACAAUCGACCAUUACUCGCCUAUGUAUGAUUACUCACAUCUCGAUGAUGCUGCAAACAUGCCGUGCUUUGUCCGUUUUAACCUUGAAGACGAGUCAUUCAGCGUCAUGACCGGUCCUCCAUGGUACAAAGGGGCCGACUAUCUUGACACCAACUUUGCCGAGGUGAACGGGAAGCUAGCCAUGCCUCAUCCAGGGCCCAACAGUGAAAUGGUCGAGAUAUGGUGUGCGAUGACGUGGAAGGCAACGACCUGCCACGGUGGCAUCAGCGGCAUGUGCUCGAUUACCCAUUUUCUAUGCGUCUCAUUGCCACGUUUGGUGACGACUGACGAGAUAGUGUAUCAAGAUACAGUGGACUAUCUCUGGCGUCGAACUCGUCAAGGAGAAAAGGCUAUUGCGCGCAUGAAUGUCUUGAGAUAUUACAACCCCGAUAUGGGCACGCUUGCUGAGUACUCAUGGAGGACCGUCAAAAGCUUCGAUGUAAUAUUUUAUGUUCCGACCUUAGUUAGAAUCUAG